AUUGAACGCUGGCGGCAUGCCUUACACAUGCAAGUCGAACGGUAACGCGGGGCAACCUGGCGACGAGUGGCGAACGGGUGAGUAAUGCAUCGGAACGUGCCCAGUAGUGGGGGAUAGCUCGACGAAAGUCGAAUUAAUACCGCAUACGACCUACGGGUGAAAGGGGGGGAUCGCAAGACCUCUCGCUAUUGGAGCGGCCGAUGUCAGAUUAGGUAGUUGGUAGGGUAAAAGCCUACCAAGCCUGUGAUCUGUAGCUGGUCUGAGAGGACGACCAGCCACACUGGGACUGAGACACGGCCCAGACUCCUACGGGAGGCAGCAGUGGGGAAUUUUGGACAAUGGGCGCAAGCCUGAUCCAGCCAUGCGCGUGCGGAGAAGG
rnacentral:rRNA from 1 species